rnacentral:tRNA from 1 species
GCCUGGCUGGCUCAGUUGGUGGAGUGUGUGAUUCUUAAUCUUGGAGUUGUGAGUUUGAGCCCCACGUUGGGUG